rnacentral:rRNA from 1 species
CUUGAACGCUGGCGGCAGGCUUAACACAUGCAAGUCGAACGAGUGGCGGACGGGUGCGUAAUGCUUGGGAAUCUAGCUUAUGGAGGGGGAUAACUACGGGAAACUGUAGCUAAUACCGCGUCCCAUAAGAUGAGCCCAAGUGGGCUUAGGUAGUUGGUGAGGUAAAGGCUAACCAAGCUGACGAUCUCUAGCUGGUCUGAGAGGAUGACAGGCCACGCGGGGACUGAGACACGGCCCAUACUCCUACGGGAGGCAGCAGUGGGAAAUAUUGCGAAAGGGGGGCAACCUGACGCAGCGAUGCCGCUUGACUGAAGAAGGCCUUCGGGUUGUAAAGUUCUGUCGGUAGCGAGGCGUUAUCUACAGAAGAAGCACCGGCUAACUCCGUGCCAGCAGCCGCGGUAAGAC